CCGAGUUUACAACUCCCAAACCCCUGUGAACAUACCAAUUGUUGCCUCGGCGGACCAGCCCGCUCCCGGUAAAACGGGACGGCCCGCCAGAGGACCCCUAAACUCUGUUUCUAUAUGUAACUUCUGAGUAAAACCAUAAAUAAAUCA
rnacentral:misc_RNA from 1 species